CGAUUACGGCUCAGUAACACGUCGUUAACGUGACCUUCGGUCAGGAUAAGCACGGGAAACUGUGUGUAAUACCUGAUAAGGGAGACAGCCUGGAAUGGCGUCUCUUUCGAAACUCGUGCCGAAGGAUCGGACGGCGGCUGAUUAGGUAGUUGGCGGUGUAACGGACCACCAAGCCAAAGAUCAGUACGGGCCAUGAGAGUGGUAGCCCGGAGAGGGACACUGAGAUACUGGUCCCAGCCCUACGGGGUGCAGCAGGCGCGAAACCUUUACCAUGCACGAAAGUGUGAUAAGGGAAUCCCCAGUGCCCAUGUAAUGCAUGGGCUUUUGCCAAGUGUAAAUAGCUUGGCGAAUAAGUGGUGGGUAAGACUGGUGCCAGCCGCCGCGGUAACACCAGCGCCACGAGUGGUGACCGCGAUUAUUGGGCCUAAAGCGUCCGUAGCCGGUUCAGCAAAUCCUUUGUGAAAUUGUCUGGCUCAACCAUACAACGUGCAAGGGACACUACUGAACUCGAGACCGCGGAGGAGUCAGAAGUAUUCCUGAGGGAGCGGUAACAAUGUUUUAAUCUCAGGAGGACUACCUGUGGC
rnacentral:rRNA from 1 species